CCUACGGGUGGCAGCAGUGAGGAAUAUUGGUCAAUGGGCGCGAGCCUGAACCAGCCAAGUAGCGUGAAGGAUGACUGCCCUACGGGUUGUAAACUUCUUUUAUAAAGGAAUAAAGUGAGGCACGUGUGCCUUUUUGUAUGUACUUUAUGAAUAGGAUUGGGUUACCUCCUGGCAGCAGGCCCGGUAAUAAGGAGGGUCCGAGCGUUAUUCGGAUUUAUUGGGGUUAAAGGGAGCGUAGAUGGGUUGUUAAGUCAGUUGUGAAAGUUUUCGGCUCAACCGUAAAAUUGCAAUUGAUACUGGCAGCCUUGAGUACAGUUGAGGUAGGCGGAAUUCGUGGUGUAGCGGUGAAAUGCUUAGAUAUCACGAAGAACUCCGAUUGCGAAGGCAGCCUACUAAACUGCCACUGACAUUGAUGCUCGAAAGUGUGGGUAUCAAACAGGAUUAGAUACCCCUGUAGUC
rnacentral:rRNA from 1 species